rnacentral:rRNA from 1 species
UACGUAGGGGGCAAGCGUUGUCCGGAAUCAUUGGGCGUAAAGCGCGUGUAGGCGGCUAGGUAAGUCUGCUCUGAAAGCCCGGGGCUCAACCCCGGGAGGCGGGUGGAUACUGUCUAGCUCGAGUCCGGAAGAGGAGUGUGGAAUUCCUGGUGUAGCGGUGAAAUGCGCAGAUAUCAGGAGGAACACCGAUGGCGAAGGCAGGUCUCUGGGCCACUACUGACGCUGAGAAGCGAAAGCAUGGGGAGCGAACAGG